CCACCUGUCGUCCUUCGUCCACGUGGCCACUUGUUAAGAAAAGGAGGGACGCGAAUAUUUGGACGUUGAGAGGAAAUGUGAUCAUGUUAUCACCAAUAUCUUGACCUCAGCUGAUGAAUUAUGAAGAAUUUGUCUUCGAGUUUAUGGCUGGACAUGACUUUAAAAUGAUUUAACUGGAACUCAUCAACAGAGAAUUCUGAAUCCUGUAAUUAGAGUUUUGGAGGGACAUUUAAGUAAUUGUGAAAUUAAAUUGAAUUGUUGAUUAUGCUUUCUAGAUCGCUAGCCUAUACACAAAAUUUGCUCAAUGAAAUCAUCGGAUCGCUGAUCAUGCUCAUUUUUCACCAGUUCCUAUUCCUGGAGAAAAGAGUGAUGUUUUCCCGAUUAGAUGUUCUCCGGACUUCACCCUC
rnacentral:lncRNA from 1 species